UACGGAGGAUCCGAGCGUUAUCCGGAUUUAUUGGGUUUAAAGGGUGCGUAGGGGGCCUGUUACGUCAGGGGUGAAAGACGGUAGCUCAACUAUCGCAGUGCCCUUGAUACUGAUGGGCUUGAAUGAACUAGAGGUAGGCGGAAUGUGACAAGUAGCGGUGAAAUGCAUAGAUAUGUCACAGAACACCAAUUGCGAAGGCAGCUUACUAUGGUUUUAUUGACACUGAGGCACGAAAGCGUGGGGAUCAAACAGG
rnacentral:rRNA from 1 species